rnacentral:rRNA from 1 species
UACAGAGGGUGCGAGCGUUAAUCGGAAUUACUGGGCGUAAAGGGUGCGUAGGUGGAAAGUUAAGUUUUAUGUGAAAUCCCUGGGCUCAACCUAGGACGUGCAUAGGAAACUGGCUAUCUAGAGUUCGGUAGAGGGAAGUGGAAUUUCCGGUGUAGCGGUGAAAUGCGUAGAUAUCGGAAGGAACAUCGGUGGCGAAGGCGGCUUCCUGGCCCGAAACUGACACUGAAGCACGAAAGCGUGGGUAGCGAACAGG